UGCUACACAGUAGCACAAUGGUGCUUCUUUCUCCAUAUCGUGUGGGCUUUGAUUAACAUGGCGACUGGCAUCGCCAUGUUUCAGUGAGGAUGCUUUGCCUCGACGCAACAAGUGCUCUAUAUAUACAGUUGAGUUGAGUUGAGUGUCAAAAAAAUGCCCACAAAUUUAAAGCUAGGGAAGAAAAACCUGAACGAAGCAGAGAAGAGGAUGCUGUACGCAGAACUGAUAACGGGGAUUCUUUGAAGUCGAGUCAAGAA